rnacentral:ncRNA from 1 species
AUCAAUUUUNACUCAACUUACACAUGCAAGUCUCCGCACACCCGUGAAAACGCCCUUACACCCACCUAGGGAUAAGGAGCUGAUAUCAGGCACAAGNNNUUGCCCAAAACAUCUAGCCACGCCACACCCAUAAGGGCCCUCAGCAGUGAUUAACAUUAAGAAUAAACGUAAGUUUGACUUAGUCAGNAGAAAANCAGAGCCGGCCAAUCUGGUGCCAGCCGCCGCGGUUACACCAUNGUGGCUCAAAUUGAUUUUAACACGGCGUAAAGCGUGAUUAAAGAAAUAUAUNNNNUCUGNNGNGGUUAAAAUUAAAUUAAGCUGUCGCACGAUUAUUUUUAAGAAGUCCUCACUNCGAAAGUUACCCCAAUAGACCAACUUGAAUUCACGACAACUAGAACACAAACUGGGAUUAGAUACCCCACUAUGUCUAGUCGUAAACUUUAACUUACACCACNNANNNUCGCCAGGGGACUACGAGCAAAGCUUAAAACCCAAAGGACUUGACGGUACCCCAUAUCCUUCUAGAGGAGCCUGUCCUGUAAUCGAUAACCCCCGUUCAACCUCACCAUUUUUAGCCCAUCAGCCUGUAUACUUCCGUCGUCAGCUUACCGCAUGAGCGANANNCAGUAAACUCAAUGUCAANCCAUCAAUACGUCAGGUCAAAGUGCAGCAUAUAAAAUGGCAAGAGAUGGGCUACACUUUCUACCCUAGAAAAUACGAAAAAUUAUGUGAAACCAUAUUCAGAAGGCGGAUUUAGCAGUAAGGGCGAACUAGAAUGCCCCCCUUAACUUGGCACUGGGGUGUGUACACACCGCCCGUCACCCUCUUCAAUUAACCCACCUAGUACCUAACAUCUUAUNACUCAAACAGAAGAGGCAAGUCGUAACAUGGUAAGCAUACCGGAAGGUGUGCUUGGAAC